GACGCACGCUGGCGUCGUGCUUAACACAUGCAAGUCGAACGAAGUGGCGAACGGGUGAGUAACGCGUAAUCCACCUGCCCUUCAGAGGGGGAUAACAGUUGGAAACGACUGCUAAUACCCCAUACUGAAGGAGGGGAGUGAGUCUGAUUAGCUAGUUGGAGGGGUGAUGGCCCACCAAGGCGAUGAUCAGUAGCCGGUCUGGGAGGAUGAACGGCCACAUUGGGACUGAGACAAGGGCCAGACUCCUACGGGAGGCAGCAGUGGGGAAUCUUCCGAAAUGGACGAAAGUCUGACGGAGCAAAGCCGCGUGAGUGAUGGCGGCCUUCGGGUUGUAAAGCUCUGUUAAUCGGGACGCGGUACCGGAAUAGAAAGCCACGGCUAACUACGUGCCAGCAGCCGCGGUAAUUC
rnacentral:rRNA from 1 species